GUGCAAUGGCAUGAACAUUCAGUAAUACCAUUAUGAGCCUGCUGACCAAACUAAGGAAAGAAGGAUUUUAUAUCAAACUAGGAUUCACUAUAGUGUGUGCUGUGGUAGAUUGUUACAUUUUUGAAAUUUAUUUAUAAAUACUGCUGACUCACUCAAGCCUAGAUAGGAGUGAACAUACAGAAAAUGCAAGCACCAAGGAACAAGAAACACGAACACUGGAAAACUAAAUUUCUUAGCUAAACAUUUCAACUCAUAAAUAUGUUAACAUUCUUACUUUCAACAAUGCUCUUAGGCAAUUCAUUUGAUUCUUUGCCUAAUAAAAAAAUAUAUGUGUAUUUAUAUCAUUCAUGGCAUGUAGUUUCUGUAUCAUUCCUCUGCGCAUUUGAUGAGAAUUCACACAAGAAACGGGAAACAGCUAAAGCGAUUUCAUAAUGCUGGACUUUGUCAGGGUAUAUUAAAUACAAGACGUUUAGUCUGUUUUGUGCAUCUCGAGUGGUGAAGAGUACUCAGCAUUUGCGACACACCAUCAGUUAUUCGGUGGUGAUUCCGGAUGAACCCAACUGCUAUUCGCUGCACCCAUUCUGAUUUAGUAAUUUUUUUUUGCAUACGGGCACCACGAAGCUGAUGCAUACUCAAGGAGACCUCUGACAAGCACGGUGAACACUGACCCUGGGUGCUGAAGCGCCAUCUCGGCGCAUGUUAGGCGAAGAACUGCAAGCGAAGUAUGGCUUCAGCCGCGAAACAUGCAUGAUGUCAACAGGUGUUGGACUUGAGGAUGGAUCAACCUGAUCUCGUAAUGACUUCAUAAGGCCUUGUCUAGCGAGUGAGAAGCUUCUGGGAGAGGCCGACCUGAUGACGAAAGGAGCACCCAAGAACCUGGGGCGAACUCAACAUCGCGAUGCACCAGUCAUAACGCUCUUUUUGUAUAUGCUGCGAGGCUAAUAAACAAGAUCGGGUGACUUGA